AUUGAACGCUGGCGGCAGGCUUAACACAUGCAAGUCGAGCGGAGAUGAGGUGCUUGCACCUUAUCUUAGCGGCGGACGGGUGAGUAAUGCUUAGGAAUCUGCCUAUUAGUGGGGGACAACAUUCCGAAAGGAAUGCUAAUACCGCAUACGUCCUACGGGAGAAAGCAGGGGAUCUUCGGACCUCGCGCUAAUAGAUGAGCCUAAGUCGGAUUAGCUAGUUGGUGGGGUAAAGGCCUGCCAAGGCGACGAUCUGUAGCGGGUCUGAGAGGAUGAUCCGCCACACUGGGACUGAGACACGGCCCAGACUCCUACGGGAGGCAGCAGUGGGGAAUAUUGGACAAUGGGGGAAACCCUGAUCCAGCCAUGCCGCGUGUGUGAAGAAGGCCUUAUGGUUGUAAAGCACUUUAAGCGAGGAGGAGGCUACUGAGACUAAUACUCUUGGAUAGUGGACGUUACUCGCAGAGUAAGCACCGGCUAACUCUGUGCCAGCAGCCGCCGUAA
rnacentral:rRNA from 1 species